rnacentral:tRNA from 1 species
UCAGUGGCCGAGUGGAUAACGCGAUGGCGUUUGAAGCGAAAGGUACUGGGUUCGAGUCCCGGAAUGA